rnacentral:rRNA from 1 species
UACGUAGGGGGCUAGCGUUGUCCGGAUUUAUUGGGCGUAAAGAGCGUGUAGGCGGCCAGGUAGGUCUGCUGUGAAAACUCGAGGCUCAACCUCGAGAUGUCGGCGGAAACCAUCUGGCUAGAGUCCGGAAGAGGAAAGUGGAAUUCCUGGUGUAGCGGUGAAAUGCUUAGAUAUGACAUAGAACACCAAUUGCGAAGGCAGCUGGCUACACGAAUAUUGACACUGAUGCACGAAAGCGUGGGGAUCAAACAGG